rnacentral:rRNA from 1 species
AAAACUUUCAACAACGGAUCUCUUGGUUCUCGCAUCGAUGAAGAGCGCAGCGAAAUGCGAUACCUAGUGUGAAUUGCAGCCAUCGUGAAUCAUCGAGUUCUUGAACGCACAUUGCGCCCGCUGGUAUUCCGGCGGGCAUGCCUGUCUGAGCGUCGUUUC